rnacentral:rRNA from 1 species
UACGUAGGCAGCAAGCGUUGUUCGGAAUUACUGGGCGUAAAGAGUGUGUAGGCGGUGUUCUAAGUCUGGCGUGAAAUCUCCCGGCUUAACUGGGAGGGUGCGGCGGAAACUGGAAUGCUAGAGGAUGGGAGAGGUAAGCGGAAUUCCUGGUGUAGCGGUGAAAUGCGUAGAUAUCAGGAGGAACACCUGUGGUGUAGACAGCUUACUGGACCAUUUCUGACGCUGAGACACGAAAGCGUGGGUAGCAAACAGG